GUGCUCAAUUUGGCAGCACAUGUACUAAAAUUGGAAGGAUAUAGAGAAGAUUAGCAUGGCCCUUGUGCAAGGAUGAAACACAAAUUUAUGAAGUGUUACAUAUUUUU
rnacentral:snRNA from 1 species